rnacentral:rRNA from 1 species
AACGAACGCUGGCGGCAGGCUUAACACAUGCAAGUCGAACGCACUCUUCGGAGUGAGUGGCAGACGGGUGAGUAACGCGUGGGAAUCUACCCAGCCCUUCGGAAUAGCUCCGGGAAACUGGAAUUAAUACCGAGUACGCCCUACGGGGGAAAGAUUUAUCGGGGUUGGAUGAGCCCGCGUUGGAUUAGCUAGUUGGUGGGGUAAUGGCCUACCAAGGCGACGAUCCAUAGCUGGUCUGAGAGGAUGAUCAGCCACACUGGGACUGAGACACGGCCCAGACUCCUACGGGAGGCAGCAGUGGGGAAUAUUGGACAAUGGGCGAAAGCCUGAUCCAGCCAUGCCGCGUGAGUGAUGAAGGCCUUAGGGUUGUAAAGCUC